rnacentral:rRNA from 1 species
GACGAACGCUGGCGGCGUGCCUAAUACAUGCAAGUCGAGCGAAGGUAUUCUGCUUCUUGCUCGAGUAAGACUUGGCGGCGAGCGGGUGAGUAACACGUAUACAACCUGCCUCAUAGACAGGUACGACUAUGGGAGCCGAUACCUCAUACGUGAUGAUGGCGUUACCGGGGGGUUUUCGGUUUAAACGUUGGUUUUUGUAACACUGUGGGAUUGCUUUGCGGUGCAUUAGCUAGUUGGUGGGGUAAAGGCCUACCAAGGCGACGAUGCAUAGCCGACCUGAGAGGGUGAUCGGCCACACUGGGACUGAGACACGGCCCAGACUCCUACGGGAGGCAGCAGUAGGGAAUCUUCCGCAAUGGGCGAAAGCCUGACGCAGCAACGCCGCGUGAGUGAAGAAGGACUUCGGUUCGUAAAGCUCUGUUGUUAGGGAAGAAGGAUUGUGUAGUAAUGAUACACAGUAGAGACGGUACCUAAACAGAAAGCCACGGCUAACUACGUG